rnacentral:lncRNA from 1 species
AUAAGCGAGUAAGAGAGAGGGAGAGAGAGAGACACAUUUCACAACACACACAGUGUAGUGUUUCACAGGUGGUCGCUCAAUGCUGUUGCCUUCAAGUACAGCAAAAGGGCUCGUGUGGCUUUCUGGGCUGCGGUGCUGUGAGACCGGGCUCUCAAGAUCG